GGACAUAGGUCAGUGGAAGAGCAUUUGCAUUGCACGCAGAAGGUCUCAGGUUCAAUCGCUGGCAUCUCCA